rnacentral:rRNA from 1 species
CCUACGGGAGGCUGCAGUAGGGAAUAUUGGGCAAUGGGCGCAAGCCUGACCCAGCAACGCCGCGUGAAUGAAGAAGGCUUUCGGGUUGUAAACUUCUGUUCUCAGGGACGAAGGAAGGGACGGGACCUGAGGAAUAAGCCACGGCUAACUAAUGGCCAGCAGCCGCGGUAUUACGUAGGAGGCAAGCGUUAGCCGGAUUGAUUGGGUGUAAAGGGCGUGUAGGCGGGAGCGCAAGGCAGAUGUGAAAACUCAGGGCUUAACCCUGGGCCUGCAUUUGAAACUGUGUUUCUUGAGUGCUGGAGAGGCAAUCGGAAUUCCGUGUGUAGCGGUGAAAUGCGUAGAUAUACGGAGGAACACCAGUGGCGAAGGCGGAUUGCUGGACAGUAACUGACGCUGAGGCGCGAAAGCGUGGGGAGCAAACAGGAUUAGAUACCCCUGUAGUC